rnacentral:rRNA from 1 species
CAGCAGCCACGGUAAUACGUAGGGUGCGAGCGUUAAUCGGAAUUACUGGGCGUAAAGCGUGCGCAGGCGGUUCGUUAAGACAGAUGUGAAAUCCCCGGGCUUAACCUGGGAACUGCAUUUGUGACUGGCGAGCUAGAGUAUGGCAGAGGGGGGUAGAAUUCCACGUGUAGCAGUGAAAUGCGUAGAGAUGUGGAGGAAUACCGAUGGCGAAGGCAGCCCCCUGGGCCAAUACUGACGCUCAUGCACGAAAGCGUGGGGAGCAAACAGGAUUAGAUACCCCUGUAGUCCCUGUCUCUUAUAA